UCAUCUUAACAGCAGUGUCAUUAGUGAGAGGCAUGACAGUCUGCACAGAGCCUUUACCAAAGGUUUUUGUACCCAUAAUGACCGCACGAUCAUGAUCUUGUAAGGCACCAGCUACAAUUUCCGAAGCAGAUGCAGAACCACCAUUAACCAAUACAACUAAUGGAGCACCUUUCAGCAUAUCGUCAGGAGUGGCGUGGAAUUUCUGAUCAGAAUCUGGAAUACGGCCUUCAGUGUAAACAAUGAGCCCUUUUUCAAUGAAGGCAUCAGAGACUUCAACCGCGGCAUCUAAUACACCACCAGGAUUGUUGCGUAA
rnacentral:ncRNA from 1 species